ACGUAGGGUGCAAGCGUUGUUCGGAAUCACUGGGCGUAAAGGGCGUGUAGGCGGUAAGUUAAGUCAGAUGUGAAAUCCCACGGCCUAACUGUGGAACUGCAUCUGAUACUGACAUACUUGAGUACGAUAGAGGGUGAUGGAAUUCCUAGUGUAGUGGUGAAAUACGUAGAUAUUAGGAGGAACACCGGUGGCGAAGGCGGUCACCUAGGUCUGUACUGACGCUGAAACGCGAAAGCGUGGGUAGCAAACAG
rnacentral:rRNA from 1 species